rnacentral:rRNA from 1 species
GAGUAACACGUGGGCAAUCUGCCCUUCACUCUGGGACAAGCCCUGGAAACGGGGUCUAAUACCGGAUAACACUCUGUCCCGCAUGGGACGGGGUUAAAAGCUCCGGCGGUGAAGGAUGAGCCCGCGGCCUAUCAGCUUGUUGGUGGGGUGAUGGCCUACCAAGGCGACGACGGGUAGCCGGCCUGAGAGGGCGACCGGCCACACUGGGACUGAGACACGGCCCAGACUCCUACGGGAGGCAGCAGUGGGGAAUAUUGCACAAUGGGCGAAAGCCUGAUGCAGCGACGCCGCGUGAGGGAUGACGGCCUUCGGGUUGUAAACCUCUUUCAGCAGGGAAGAAGCGAAAGUGACGGUACCUGCAGAAGAAGCGCCGGCUAACUACGUGCCAGCAGCCGCGGUAAUACGUAGGGCGCAAGCGUUGUCCGGAAUUAUUGGGCGUA